UACGGAGGGUGCAAGCGUUAUCCGGAUUCACUGGGUUUAAAGGGUGCGUAGGAGGGUAGGUAAGUCAGUGGUGAAAUCUUCGAGCUUAACUCGGAAACUGCCGUUGAUACUAUCUAUCUUGAAUACCGUGGAGGUGAGCGGAAUAUGUCAUGUAGCGGUGAAAUGCUUAGAUAUGACAUAGAACACCAAUUGCGAAGGCAGCUCGCUACACGAAUAUUGACUCUGAGGCACGAAAGCGUGGGGAUCAUACAGG
rnacentral:rRNA from 1 species